rnacentral:rRNA from 1 species
UACAGAGGUCUCAAGCGUUGUUCGGAUUCAUUGGGCGUAAAGGGUGCGUAGGCGGCGCGGUAAGUCGGGUGUGAAAUCUCGGGGCUUAACUCCGAAACUGCAUUCGAUACUGCCGUGCUUGAGGACUGGAGAGGAGACUGGAAUUUACGGUGUAGCGGUGAAAUGCGUAGAUAUCGUAAGGAAGACCAGUGGCGAAAGCGGCUUCCUGGUCCAGCACCGACGUCAGGCACGGAAGCGUGGGGAGCAAACAGG